GCCGGGGUGGCGGAACUGGCAGACGCGUUGGACUUAAAAUCCAAUAAGUGAUGAACUUGUGAGGGUUCGAGUCCCUCCCUCGGCACCA
rnacentral:tRNA from 1 species